rnacentral:tRNA from 1 species
GGACCCGUGGUGUAGAGGCCUAACACGUCGCCCUGUCACGGCGAAGACCGGCGGUUCGAAUCCGCUCGGGUCCG